AAUCAACGCUGGCGGCGUGCCUAACACAUGCAAGUCGAACGCGAAAGCCCCUUCGGGGUAAGUAGAGUGGCGUCCGGGUGAGUAACACGUGGGUAAUCUGCCUUCGGGUGGGGAAGUAACCCAGGGAAACUUGGGCUAAUACCGCAUAAUGCAGCGGCACCUAAUGGUGAUUAGUUGUUAAAGACGGGGAUCGCAAGACCUCGCGCCUGAAGAGGAGCCUGCGGCAGAUUAGCUAGNGGUGAGGUAAUGGCUCACCAAGGCUUCGAUCUGUAGCUGGUCUGAGAGGACGGCCAGCCACACUGGC
rnacentral:rRNA from 1 species